rnacentral:rRNA from 1 species
UACAGAGGUCCCAAGCGUUGUUCGGAUUCACUGGGCGUAAAGGGUGCGUAGGCGGUCGGGUAAGUCUGAUGUGAAAUCUCACAGCUUAACUGCGAAACUGCAUUGGAUACUAUCCGGCUAGAGGAAUGGAGGGGAGACUGGAAUACUUGGUGUAGCAGUGAAAUGCGUAGAUAUCAAGUGGAACACCAGUGGCGAAGGCGAGUCUCUGGACAUUUCCUGACGCUGAGGCACGAAAGCCAGGGGAGCAAACGGG